rnacentral:rRNA from 1 species
GAUGAACGCUGGCGGCGUGCCUAAUACAUGCAAGUCGAGCGAAUGGAUUAAGAGCUUGCUCUUAUGAAGUUAGCGGCGGACGGGUGAGUAACACGUGGGUAACCUGCUCAUAAGACUGGGAUAACUCCGGGAAACCGGGGCUAAUACCGGAUAACAUUUUGAACCGCAUGGUUCGAAAUUGAAAGGCGGCUUCGGCUGUCACUUAUGGAUGGCCCCGCGUCGCAUUAGCUAGUUUGUGAGGUAACGGCUCACCAAGGCCACGAUGCGUAGCCGACCUGAGAGGGGGGUCGGCAACACUGGGACUGGGACACGGCUCAGACUCCUACGGGGGGCAGCAGGAGGGAAUCUUCCGCAAUGGACGAAAGUCUGACGGAGCAACGCCGCGUGAGUGAUGAAGGCUUUCGGGUCGUAAAACUCUGUUGUUAGGGAAGAACAAGUGCUAGUUGAAUAAGCUGGCACCUUGACGGUACCUAACCAGAAAGCCACGGCUAACUACGUGCCAGCCGCCGCCGUAA